UCCUACGGGGCGCAGCAGUGGGGAAUAUUGCACAAUGGGGGAAACCCUGAUGCAGCGACGCCGCGUGAGUGAAGAAGUAUCUCGGUACGUAAAGCUCUAUCAGCAGGGAAGAAAAAAAGUCUUUGGCUUUGGACGGUACCUGACUAAGAAGCCCCGGCUAACUACGCGCCAGCAGCCGCGGUAAUACGUAGGGGGCAAGCGUUAUCCGGAUUUACUGGGUGUAAAGGGAGCGUAGACGGCAUGGCAAGUCUGAUGUGAAAACCCGGGGCUCAACCCCGGGACUGCAUUGGAAACUGUCAGGCUAG
rnacentral:rRNA from 1 species